GUGGAUUAGAUACCCUGGUAGUCCACGCCGUAAACGAUGUCUACUCGGAGUUUGGUGUCUUGAACACUGGGCUCUCAAGCUAACGCAUUAAGUAGACCGCCUGGGGAGUACGGCCGCAAGGUUAAAACUCAAAUGAAUUGACGGGGGCCCGCACAAGCGGUGGAGCAUGUGGUUUAAUUCGAUGCAACGCGAAGAACCUUACCUACUCUUGACAUCCACAGAAGACUGCAGAGAUGCGGUUGUGCCUUCGGGAACUGUGAGACAGGUGCUGCACGGCCGUCGCCAGCU
rnacentral:rRNA from 1 species